CAAAAAGUAGCUUAUUAUAAAGCCUCUCGCUUACACCGAGAAGAUGUCUGUUCAACCCAGGCCAUUUUGA
rnacentral:tRNA from 2 species